CACCCUUCCCGGCUGUCAAUAUAACCUUUGACAGAGGGAGGAACAAGGGAUGGCAGGCGGUGACUGGCGGCGGGGCUUCUCGCUCCGGCAACGGUGGCGACCGCGGCGGCGGCUUCCGGAGUCCCGCCGCGAAGAUGCUCAAAGUCACGGUGCCCUCGUGCUCCGCCUCGUCCUGCUCUUCGGUCACCGCCAGUGUGGCCCCGGGGGCCGGGAGCCUCAUCCCGGAUUACUGGAUCGACGGCUCCAACAGGGAUGCUUUGAGCGAUUUCUUCGAGGUGGAGUCGGAGCUGGGACGGUGGACAAAAAAAUCGUAAGAACUGAGAUAGGAGUUCUUCUUCGCCUCUCACAUCCAAACAUUAUAAAACUUAAAGAGAUAUUUGAAACCCCUACAGAAAUCAGUCUGGUCCUAGAACUCGUCACAGGGGGAGAGCUGUUUGACAGGAUUGUGGAAAAGGGAUAUUAUAGUGAACGAGAUGCUGCAGAUGCUGUCAAACAAAUCCUGGAGGCAGUUGCUUACCUACAUGAAAAUGGGAUUGUCCAUCGUGAUCUCAAACCAGAGAACCUUCUCUAUGCAACUCCAGCCCCAGAUGCACCACUCAAAAUUGCUGAUUUUGGGCUCUCUAAAAUCGUGGAACAUCAAGUGCUCAUGAAGACAGUAUGUGGAACCCCAGGGUACUGCGCACCUGAAAUUCUUAGAGGCUGUGCCUAUGGACCUGAGGUGGACAUGUGGUCUGUAGGAAUAAUCACCUACAUCUUACUUUGUGGAUUUGAACCAUUCUAUGAUGAAAGAGGCGAUCAGUUCAUGUUUAGGAGAAUUCUGAACUGUGAAUAUUACUUUAUCUCCCCCUGGUGGGAUGAAGUAUCUCUAAAUGCCAAGGAUUUGGUCAGAAAAUUAAUUGUGUUGGAUCCUAAGAAAAGGCUGACUACCUUCCAAGCCCUCCAGCACCCGUGGGUCACAGGUAAAGCAGCCAAUUUUGUACACAUGGAUACAGCUCAAAAGAAGCUCCAAGAAUUCAAUGCCCGGCGCAAGCUCAAGGCAGCAGUAAAGGCCGUGGUGGCCUCUUCCCGGUUGGGAAGCGCCAGCAGCAGCCAUGGCAGCAUCCAGGAGAGCCAGAAGGCCAGCCGAGAGCCAUCUCCAACACAAGAUGGCAAUGAAGAUGUCAAAGCUAUUCCGGAAGGAGUGAAAAUUCAAGGAGAUGGGGCCCAAGUGGCAGUUGAGGGGGCAGAGGCUGAGCUGAUGAAGGUGCAGGCCAUAGAGAAAGUUAAAGAUGCUGAAAUAAAUGCUGCUGAGGCCACCAAGAUGGUGCCCGAGGCAUUAGAGGAUGGGAUAAAGGAGGCUGACCCAGAAACAGAGGAGGGCCUAGUGGAGGAAAAGCUGAAGACUGUUGAGGAAGCAGCAGCCCCCAAAGAAGGGCAAGAAAACCCUGCUCUGGAAUUUGGAGCUCAGCAGAAUGAUGUGAUCCUGCCAGAGUACUAAAUGGCUUCCUUCCAUCUGGGAGCCAAAUCCUGGCACUUUAUGCAUUUUGUCCUUCAGCAAGGAAGGUGGGGAAGCAUGAUAUGCACUAUAGUGAUUCUGUUUUUAAGGUGCAAAAAAAUACAUAUAUAUCAGUUGGUAAUCCUAACUUCAAUGCAUGUGACUGCUUUAUGAAAAAAUAGUGUCUUCUAUGGUAUGUAAUGGAUACCAAAUACCUACUGAUGAAUUAAAUUUGAAAUUGCAAGUAAACACAACAUAACAUUUAAAAACAUACAUUUUCAGGGACCAGUAGCACACAUUUGAAGUAAAUAGUAACAAAUUGGUUUUGCUUUGAAAACCUAGCCAGCCUACACCCUUUGGAUUUCUUUACAAGGACUGUUGCCCAGCUAAUACUAGGUAGAGCUAUAAGAUGUAUUCCCAUGACAUUCACAGUCUUUUCAGUAAUGUGUUCAAACUGUUUACAAGAAGAUGGUUAGGUUAUAGUUGUAUGGUAUGUGCAAAAAAAAAAAAAAAAUCCACUUAUAAUGGUAAGAAACUGAAGCAUGCUUUAAGGGCUAUGAAACCAUAUGCCCCUAAAGCUUGUGUGCAGAAUGUUUUUUUAUCUUGUCUUUAUUUAUACACACCAUAUUACUAAUAACCGAAAACAUUCUAUUACAAAUUCCUGCCAUUUUACGGUCCUAAAAAAAUUAUUUUACAGACUCACGCUGAGGAAUUUAUUCUUUCCUUCACCUGCUCUCUAACAAGAAGUCCUUCUGAUGGACAACACUUAGGGGGGGAAUAAAGAAAUUUAGUGAAGAAAAGGAGAUAAGACUGGGACUUAGACUAAUAAAGACUGACUCCUUGUCAUUUUUCAGAUAAAAUUGAAUUUAUUCACAAGCUUGUACAAUUUUAAAGAUAGGAAAACUUUUAUGGAUAAACUCUAUACUUAACCAAGGUUCAGAUAUUUAGAAAAGUCUACACCAAAGGCUGGUGCCAAAAUGUCUGAAUAGAGUGGGAAUAAUAUCCCAUUGUAAGAUCAUCCAUUAUUGACUUUAGUAUAGUAAGGAAACCUUUGUUUUUAUAAAAGUCCUUUUUUUCCUUCAACUGAUGGUUAUUUAGAUAUACAGCUUAUGGACUAAAGAUAUUUCUGAAAAGCUAGUAUAUCUUUUUCUCAUACUUGGAAUGGAAGCACCCAUAAUUUACAAUGUAUUUUUGAAAGUUUCCAUGUCCAGAAAUGUAGGACAAUGCAGCUUUUAAUUUACUUUAGUAAACAAAAACAAAAAGAAACAAUGAAAAAAACACUGAUUUCAAAUCAGACUCUUGAGAAGCUGUAACAUUAGACCUAAUACAUUACCAUGAUUUUUUUCAAAAUAUUUUUCUUUGGUUUUCAUAUAAACACUUUUCCCUUAUAAAAAUCACAGUUAAAUUCCAAAUACCUCAGAUUUAUUUCUAGCUUGAGCUUAAAUGAACAUUUUUAUCAAAUUAAUUAUGCAGCAUAUUUUAGUAGGUUUCCUUAAUUUUAAAAAAGGAUUAUUUUCAGGCCAAAAUUAUGGAUAAAAAUGACUAUCACAUAAAAAUCCUCCUCAAAAAUAGAGAUCUUAACUUUUUUGGGCUCUUCCUCAGAAAUAUUAAAUUAGAAAAUUAAAUUAAACCUCUGGUUUCUGGGGACUAUUCGACCUAAGAGACAUUCUGCUUUCCAAGUGCAAAUCUUCCUUUACUACUGUUCUCAUGAGAAGAAAAUAAGGUAGAACUUCUUGUCUUCCAUAAUAUAGGAGCCUGACAGAUCACUGAGGUGGAGGAAAAAGCCCUUAAGGGCACAUCAUCUGGACUCAGAGAAAGAUUUUUUGUUUCAUUUUAUCUUUAUUAAUUAGUAGAGAGUACUUAUCUUCUUCUCUUCUGUUUCCCUCCUUCUUUAUUCUCUCAGAAUUUCCAUUUUAGCUAUUAUAAGGGGCUCACUAGUUUCAAACUUUAAGAAUGCCUUCUUCCCUAAGCAUUAAGAUUUCUAUUUUAAAAGACCAAUUGCCUGGUAUACUUUUCCCAAAGAGACUUAACAGGUGUAUAUUGUGAGGCAUAUAUGGUAAGUGUCCCAUAUAUUGGAAAAGGGAAGAAGAGAGGGAAAGGAAUCUUAAUGGAAAGUGGCAAUACUAAUAGGAAGAUGAGAACACAUUGUCCCUCCCAGCCCACUUCCAUAUUGUUCCAAGGGCAAUGGUUAUAUCAUCCCAACAUUCAGGGCUGACUGCAGUGGUUGGACCUGCGGACUGUGUAGUGUGAAGAGCACUGCAAAUGCCAAGGCCAGUGUGUACUUAAGAAUUUACCCAUUUAAAUGAGUACACAUGCCUAUUCCCUGUGAGGGUGUGAGCGUAAUUUCCUCUUUUUUAACCCAUAAAUUGCACUCUCUAAAAAUCAGCAGGAGUUGUAAAUUUUGACUUGUAUGUUAAAGAUUAAGUCCUGAUAAUGCCUAAGUGACUGAGUUAGUCAUUUCAGUGGAAAACAAGUCAAAGUUUCACAAAAAUCGGGCAUUUCAGCCAAAUGAUUCAACCUAGGAUUUCACAGAGAUGCUAUUUAAGUUAGGAUAGUUAAAUUAACAUUUUUGAAAAAACAGUAAACAUUUAUAUUGCUUGUUAAAAUGGAUAUAUUAUCUAUCUCAAAGAUUACUUAUUUAUAAUAGACUAAUGCAGAUAGAACCUUAAUUUGAUGAACUAUUUCAUAAUGUUUCCUUUAAUUGACACUAUAGUCACAAAGCAAAUAAUUAAGGGAAUUUCAGCAAACAAUACAUUUUGCAUUUUAGAGAUGACAGUUAUUAUAUUAUUGAUUUUUGUUCUCAGAUAAGUUCAGAUACAUAGCAUAAACCAGACUAUUCUGCCAUAGAGAAGGACAAUCUUGAAUUAUUUCUCCCAUUUAAAAAGUCUAGUUGGAAUCCCAGUGGUUUUUCUCAAACCGUAAGAGCUCAUUUGUCCCAUGAACACAUAAAUAAGGUAGAAAUUAGAAUAAUAUGGUUGUAGAAGUUAUUGUCUAGAACAAGUGCUGCCUAAUAUAGAUGAUACAAACCACAUAUGUAAUUUUAAAUUUUCUCCUAGCCACGUUUUAAAAAGAAAAAAGAAAAAAAAAGCUGGUAAAAUUAACUAUAUUUUAAUCCAAUAUAUCCAUACUAUUAUUCCAAUACAUAAUCAAUAUGAAAAAUUAACAAGACCUUUUAAAUUUUUUAUUUUUGUACUAAGUUUUCAAAAGAAGGAUUAUGUUACACCUUCAGUACAUCAAGUGCUCAACAGCCACAUGUGACUAGUGGCUACAGUGGUACUAGAAGAGCGCUGGUCUAGAGCACUUUCAAAGCAAAAUGACAGACAAAUUUCUAUGCUUAGAUUUGAGCUGCCUCAGUUUUCCACACUGAUGAGUUGGUAGGAGGCCAAAAAGAAAAUGUUUCAGAAAUGUCAUAGACUGAAAUGAGUAAAAACUCUGUUGGCCACAUCUACCUAUUCAUGUGCUUCAGAGGAGAAGUGUUUCCCAGCAUGACUGUUAGAGAACUUUCCUGGGCAUUGGCAAGUUGUCCGUUGGCUACAGUUCCUCUCUUGGGCCCUGGAAUCUUGACUACAGGCUAGCGUCUCCUGAGUACUGCCAUGAAGUCAAUCGUGUUCUCACAUACCAAAAUCUUCUGUGGGCGAACCAUGUGUCCUCAUUCAGGAAGGGCUGCACACAGAAUCUUAGUGGGAUUUCGUAGGCCUGGCCACCAACAAGGCUGGACACCAUCCUUGUAUUGCAGGCAAUAUUUUUUAUAGAAAUCUUCUGAAAUAUACCAAAUUUGCAUGAUAAAGACUGUAUGAUGAGGAUGAUAUCACCCCAGUUAUCCCUAAAAUGAGAAUAUGACCAUCCGCUGGCAUUUUUUAUAUUUCCUUAGAAGAGUUUAAUCAACUCUGCCAUUACACAUGGAUUCAAAAGACUUUUUGGAAUUUUCUUACAUAUUGCUAUUUUAGAAUAAUCCUCAAGGUUCUAUAGCCAUUUUUAGUGGCAGACUUUAAAAGAAAAGAACAGUUUGCCUUUUACUGUGACCUCAAUUACAUAGUAUUUUAAACAUAUUUUGUAAUUUAGAAUGUUUAGCAAUCCCUAUUUCCAGUUUUACAUGAAAGGUAACUGCUUGAAGAUUGCCUAUAGACUGAAAAUUUAGAGAAAGCCAUUUUGUUUCAUAAUUCAGUUGUUUCACAGAAGCAUCUGGUUGCAUUUCAAAUCGGAAAAUAAAAGAAGUAAAUGCCAAAAAAGGCAAAGGAUAAAAUCAGUAAAUCAUUUAUUCUGUUUUAGGAUUGUCUUUGCAAAGCAAAUGCAAAAACAAGUCAAAAAAGUGAAUCAGCACUAGGUUUUUCUUGAUGAGGCUGACUCCACAUAAAUUGACAUAAAUAUACUGAGAAGAGUCAAUUACAUAAUUACAGUGCCAUUAUGUAAUUUACUUGUCAUUGCAGAGUAUUCAGUCUGGUUAUCUAGGUCUACUUUAGCUGGUGCAAACUUUUCCGACAUCUACUUACAUAAUAGGAUUUGUAAUAUCCUUGUAAUUACUGCCUAUUAGGUCUUAUUUAAAUUUCCUUAAUGUUCAGCACUGAUAUGUCUCUGAUCAAGGUCGUUACUAACAUUUGAGCAUUUACUGGUUAAAUACUGCUUACUGGUUAGACUCUAUGUGUGUCUUCACUGUUUUUUUUUAACAUUUAUGCACGUAUAAUCUCAAUAUUGGUAUAAUAUUCAUAACCACAUGUUAAGCAGAAAUGUAACCAAUAAUUUUCUAUAAAACUUUUUCAAAGUUCUUUUCUUCCCCUGGCACAACUCAGGGUGAGUUUCUGGCUCCUUGACAAAUAGAAAAAGAACCUAAAAGAUCACUGGAGAGAUAUCAGCUAUCCACCCAUAGUAACCAAGCUCAGCAUUUCUUCUUUCUAUAUCCUGAUCUGUUAAGGGCCAGUUUUUGUCAUCAUUACUUUCAAAUAUCACCUGAGAUCAGAUAAUAUAGUCUCAGCUCACAUAGCCCAACCAUUUAUAUACUUUUCUUGGAGAGCAAUAACAAACUUGACUAAUUUAUGUUUGCUUGUUUAAAAUUCUAAUUUUCACACACUCUCUGUGGUGCACUCUAGAGGCUUUGAUUGUGUGAUUUUAACUUCCUUCAAGAUUCAGUCUUUUCUCUGUCACCUGGCCCAGAGGUCUACCUAGGACAAGGAGGAAGCCUUGCCAUGAGAGUGGACCAUGUGAGUCCUUGACAGGAAUCAGACAUUGCUCUAGUGAAGACUCAAGGCAUCUGUCUUGGUUGAGCUCAAAUGAGCCAAAUGGGAAACACCUCUUCCAGUGAUACUGUUUGAAUAUUGGUACAGUGCCAUUAGUCAGUAAUGGAAAAUGAGAUUUCACCAAUCAUUUGCUCUUCCCAUGACUUGGUUUGCUACCACUUAUCCCAGAUCAAUGUUUUCUUCCAUCCCUAUGGCCAUCAAGCUGCCCUCUCGAAUUUUGAAGUCCUCUAAAAUCCUGGAAAGAGUAUCCCAGACUGGUCGAAGAAAUAUGGAGUCUUUGGUGGCCCAGAAUUUAGUUUGAAACUCUAAACGGCAAUGCUAAGACAGCAAAAUCAUACUGUUCUUCUUAACUAGUUGCUUUCAGCACAUUUUGAAAACUGACCUGGAAUACACAUGGAUAUGGAAUAUUUAUAUCUGUAUAGCCUUUUCUGUGAUUCAGUGUGUUAAAAAUGGCAGAUAGUUAAUCUUCAGUCAGAUUAUAUAAUAUUUAUUUUCCAUUUAAAAGAUUAUUUUGGGCUACUCAAAUAUAACAGGCUUCAUAUUAGAAUUUUUGAAAGCUGUUGUUUUCCCUAAGCACUCUCUCACUCUGACAAUCAGUUGUGGAUGAUAAAAAUUUACUAAGUUUGUCCUUUCUUUGUCCUUUCCUUGAUACAUGUAUGGUAGUUAAUCUGGUUUGUAAAGGAUACAAGUAAGAAUGACUAUAAAGUGACAACUGUCAUCUCAUAACUGCCUCCUUUUAACUUGACCUAUUUUUAUAGCCUAUCAUGUAGCUAAUAUACAGUAGCAUACAAACAGCAUAUUCAGGAGUAUGAGUUUUACUGUCAAGAUUAUUAUUUCAAAAGUUCCCAAAAUGUUUAUAUUCAUGCACCCUUAAUUUCAGUAAUAUUUUCAUGACCCCCACCUACCAAGCCAAAAGAAUUACCUAACAUGCCCAUUUUUUAAGUAGUUAGGUCCAAACAACAUAAUAGUAGUAGUGCAUUCCAUGUCUGACUGAUGUUGCUGUGUGUUUCCCUUGACAUGUUAAAAUGUCCUCUGAGUUUACUGAGUGGGAACAGCAGACAGGUGACAGACAAAAGGGAUUAUUAGUAAACAAGUUAGGGGCUAACGUUUAUACUCUUUCUUAUUUGAAUGACAAUCAUUCUUUUAUCUAUGGUCUUUGUGAUAUACACAUAAAAUUUACAAGUGCAUUUUUAAAAAGUAAUUUCCACAUAACUACCCAAGGAAAUAAAGUUAAAUCUCCAAAGAUCAGUUUUCAAGAGUCAGGCAAACUAUAGGUCACGGACCAAAUCCAUCAGAGCGCUGUUUUAUAAAGUUUUAUCAGAACACGACCAUGCUCAUUUAUUUAUACAUUGGCUAUGGCUGCUUUCAUGCUACUAGGACAGAGUGGAGUAGUUUCAACAGAGACUGUAUGGCCCAGAAAAGCCUAAAAUGUUUAUCUGGCCUUUUACAGAAAAAUAAUUGAUGACCCUGGUUUUUCAUGGCACCCUGCCUUUUUGGUAACAUCUAGGAAUACAGAUUCCCAUACUCCAGAUUUCUUCUCCUUAGCUUAGGGUUCUUAUCCCAUUUGCUUCUUAGGAAGUUAGGACAGGUUUGUUUCUGUGCAGAUGGUCUCAACAAUAAUUUUGCUGGAAGUACAACUUAACAGUAAAAUUUCCCUACAGAACUAAAAAUUCAAAAUUGCAUCAUUCCUGAAAAGAAAAGUUUAGAGUACGAAUUGACUUGUUUCAGAGAGAGGAAUUAGAAAGAUUUCUAGCACAUCAAGCACGUUUUAGAAAAUUUGAUCCUUUUAUUUAAAAUCAUGUAAAUGACAUUUUGUAUUCCCCCCAUUUAAGUCAAUCUGCAGCUGUUACUUAGUAAGCCAAGAAAUGAGAGCCCCCUUUGGUUCUGAAUCCUUUAGAAUAUUUUCAAGUAAUUAAUACCAAUUGGAUUUUCAUUUAAUCAUUUUUAGAAAAUAACAUGCUUUAUUAUGUGGCAUUCUAUGACAAUGACUUGCUUAUCAAUAGCUCAGGAAAUAGGCAAAUAGCCAACUUUUUAAUGUAAGAAAGCUACUUUCCAGUCCCUGUGUUUUUCUGAGUGUUAUAUAUUUCACUUCUUCGGAAAGAGAAGGCCUCGAGCAAAUGCUUUCCUUUCCUUUUCUUACAUAUUUAGAAAUCCAAGAGGGGCCCUUUUCUUAGUCUAUUUCUGUCACAGAGAAGUUAUUCAUUCCACAAUAUUUGCCUUAAGGGAAGCAGGUGGCCCAGAUAUUGAGAAUGUAGGCAUGCAUGACCUUUGUGUUUGACUUUGAACAUCUAUAGCCAAAAGGUUACAAGUGAGAUAUUGAGUAGAAAACCUAUUAUCAGCUUAUUAUUAGGAAAAGCUAAAAUUAUAUCAUGACUCUAAUUAAAUAAUAUAUUGUUUUCUUUAAACUGUUGCAGCAAUCAAUAUGAUGUAGCCACUGGAUACACUAUAGAACUCAGGAAAAAAAGAGAUGAAUCGUCUGCCUGCUCCUCAUGGUUGAUGUGAGUAGGAGGGAGACUUUACCGGAAUGGAAGAGGGAAAAGGUAAAAUGUAGAUGAGGAUUCCACAUUCCCACCUACCCAUUUUUCUUGAUUGCUCAGAGUUUGAAAGCAGUUGUUAACGGACUAAACUUAUCAUUUUAAAAUUUCUCUCAAUAUCUGGGUCACCAGCUUCCCUUAGAAAUGAGUAAACCAAAGCCAGUAGCUAAUUUUCCUCCCAGAAUAAAAAACUAAACAGUGUAGUUUAGGGAAUAUUAGGCCUACAUCGCAAGCACACUUUAAGGAGAUGAUUCGGUGAUUCUGAAGCUUUCUAGGAGCAGCGCACGCCAGGGACCCAUUUUCUCAGUAAACUUUCAUUGAAAAACAAUUACGUACAAUGAAAGAGUCAAAGUUGAAUUAAACCCAUGCUACCCUCUAGGAUUGAGCUUUGUCGUUGGAGAGAAAAAACAAGUGUACAUAUAGCCUGUGCUAAAUCUUGGCAGGCAGUAAGCCCUCCAGGGAUGGAAAGCAGGAAAAGUUCCCCUUUGCUUGGAAUGAUCAAGGGGAGCUUCCUGGGAAUAUUAGCUAAAUAUAAAGGAUGGGGAGAACCUUUGCAGGUAGGGAGGAGGAAGGCAGAACAUUUGGCUGAGAAAUCUGCAGAGUGGAGGAAUGUGUUGAAGGAACAAUGCUGGGUGUGAAAGACUGAAAUCUGCAGGGAAGUGUUGCUAAGUCUGCAUAAGAGUAUCAGAUCUUGUGCAAAGUUGAAUUAGACUUCUUCACCCCUUUCUUACUCUGGGUAGACAUUUGUGCAGCAUUUCCUCAGAGCAUGUAGCCCUCUGUGAUCUCCUACAUACGUGGCUAAUCUGGUGUGUCCCCCAACAGAAUAAAAAUCACCCAACACAUCAAAGACAUUUUUGCAAGUCACCAGUUGAAAUAAAGCUUCAGUCACUAAAAGCAAAAACUGCACUGGCGAGAUCUCCACUGACAAAGCAGAGUAAAAGAAGAUAGUGAUUAUCUGAGUAACUUUGGCAAAACUCCAGUAUCUGAAUAACUCCCGGUGACUAGAAAAUCACCUAACUACUUGCUAAAGCUUUGCCAGUGGAGGCCACGUCAAGGUUACUUCUUUCACAGUUAUUUUAACCUUUUAAAUUAUCUGACCUGAAAGGGCAGUUCCCGCAGGAUCUAAGAUAGAAUUAUACCUGAAAGUUUAGACUUCAAAAGACAACCUGUGUUAAGCCUCAGACAAUGAAAUUUAAAAUCUUCGGAGCUGCCUUCCCCAAACUUCAAGCCGAUCCUGUGAAGUCCUUUCGUCUCCAUCUCUCCCUUUUGCCCCUUUAUACACCUUUCUAUAAUUUCCUUUUUAUAUCACUCAUUGCAGGCAGUAUUUUACAUCCAUCUUCAAGAAACUUUUAAAAACAUAAUCAUUACAGUAUAUAUACUUCUAGUUGUCUUGCCACUUUGCUUGUUUCAGAUAAUGUCUGUGAUUAGUAACUUGCUAUAUUAUUCGGGCAAAUGAAACGAAGAAAGGGACAACGGUUGACCAUCAUCUGAGUGAUGGAAGAGGAGUUAAGACGUGGAGAUACUGUAGGGGUACAGAAAACACAACUUGGCAGGCGUUGAGAAAGGAAUACUACUUACUAGGGUUUUCAGACUUAGGUGACAGUAUCUGGUAUGUCUUUUCUAGUUUUUCCUAGAGGAGAAAUCUGUACUGCUGCGUUGUCGAAAGUUUUCUGGACUAAAAGGACAUAAGCAGCUCAACGGCAGCUUGGAGGAUUAGAUAAUGGAAUACCACUCUAUACAGGAAACCUACAUCUCCAGUAGUUUAGACUGCAAAUCAUUAGCCAAAAACAACUGCAUGUAGGAUCUGGAGGGCAAAGACAAAGUGUAAAUACUGCAGUUUACACCGCCAAGAUCAUAGGCUGCCUUCCCAAUUUCUCAUUGAAAAGUACUGGAAAAGGAGCUGUGAACAUUUCAUUUUUAAAACCUGUCGAAAUGGUGCUAUUGACUCCUUAAUACAAAGAUAUAUUACAAUAUUUUUUAGGUAAACAUGUAAGUCUGACCUGGCCAUAAAUGUAAAUAUAGAGAAUGUUUACAGAGAAUUCAUCAAAAUCAUGCCCGUUUGCUUUUGACUGAGCUACCGUUUUGUUCGAUGGCACUGCUUCCAGCAUAUGGGACACAUCAGAGUCACUGGCUCUCAGCUGCCCAAAGCCUGGGGCAGACAACAUGACAGCCACAGACAACUGGCUUCUUCUUGGACUCAGGUUAGACAACCCAAGUAAAUGAGUAAACAUGCUCAUUUUUUGGUGUUUCCCAGGAACAUAAUGGAAGAAUAUGUGACAUGAGGCAAAAUGGAUGUUGGGAGACUGUUGAAAUUGACCUUAGUGAGGGCCAAUGUUGCUUUGUGUAAGUUCAUUCAGAUUUGUCAGAGCAUGCCAAAAGAAGCAUACACCUUACUGCUGGGAAACUUGUAAAGCAAUCUGCAUGUAUGGUAUGAUAAUAAAUCAUCUAAGAGCCCACCAAUACUUUGCAUUCCGUGAUUUGAGAUGUUAGCACAAUUCAAGAGUGACACAAUGGACAUUUUCCUUAUAUCUGAAAUAUGAAGUCGAAGCAUUUCUUGAUUGUUUUUCCAUUCUCUCAGGCAACAUUAUACUUUGAGUUUCACAGCAUUUUUAAUAUUAUACAGUGAUGUCAUAAAAUCAUAAAGUUAAAAGGGGAUCUUAGUAAUCAUUUAACCCAACAAGCUCAUCUUAUUAAAGAGAAGUAACACCCAGAGAGGUAAUGACUUAUCUAAGAUCGCAGUUAGUGGCUGAGAAGAGAUCUGGGUUGCCCAUCUCCUAGUCCAGUGCUCUCAUGACUGAGAAGUCAAUUCACUGGAUACAAAGUCAAUCCAGCGAUUCAUAUUAAAAUUGAUUUUCAUUAUAAAAAUAUGAAAAUACAGAAAAGUAGAUUACCAUAAGAACGCCUUCCAAAGACAAGCAUUGUCUUUUUUAAAAUCUUGCACUAGUUUAUUUUUUUCUUACAGACUUUAAUCAUAUUGUAACUUUUUUAUGUCAACCUACCACUACAGCAGGCAUUUUUUGUAUAAUCUUCAGAAACAAUUUUGAUAGCUGCAUAAUAAUCCAUUCUCAAUUCUUUUUCUUUUCUCAGUUAACACUACAUAAAGCUUUUUUCUGAGUUUGGGGAAAUCUAUCCUAAGGAAAUAAUCCUAAUGUGGAAUUGUCGGGCCAAAUGAUAUUCAGUGGUCCCUUCAUUAUGAUGCUUUCAAACCUGCAGGACCUGAGAAUGAAAGGGAAAAACUUUUAUGUUCCCUCCUAAGAAGCUGAUUGUUAGCAACAAUAGUUGUAAAAAGAACUAAAAGUCUUUCUUGAGCUUGGCCACCCAAUUAGCAAACAUUUGUGUGAAAUAUUGGGGGGAAGGCAUAAUAUGUCAGUGAGGUUCACUCUCAGAAUUGCAGCUGGCUACUAACUACUACUAGGUCCAAAAUCCUCACCUAAACAAUGACUUCUGAAUUGAGGGAAAUGCUAGAGGAAAACAAAAAACCUCUCCCAUCUGCAAGUCCAUUUUUGACUAUAUGAAACAUCUUUUUAUUUCAACCUGGUUUUGCACAAUCUCUGGACUACUUCUUUUAAUAAAAAGCCAGCUGCUUGUACUUGAGGAAUGUCACUAAAGCAAAACCUAAGAAGGAAGGUAAAGCUCCUGAAAAAGAACAGUACCAUCCAAAUAAUGAGUAAAAAGCCAGUUUUGGUAUUUGUACACUAUGCUUCCCCCAUAAUUUUUAUUAGCAGAAUACUACACCCCACUAAUCACCUGUACAGAUAACACAAGUAACAUGGAUCCACCCUCUAUCUCCUGGGAUACAUUUGCAUUUCAUGUUUUCCAGCAAUUUUCUGUCAUCUCCUGGUCUAGAAGUCUUCAUCCAUAGUGGACCCUUUGCUCCAGAGGAGUAGAAAUGGUGUACUAUAGACAUAAGUCAUUCACAUCGGAUGCCAUGUGACACCAACCAUUAAUUAACAAACUUCCGAGGAGCUCCAUCACCUCAUUACCUCAAUGACGGACAGCUAUGUAGAAUCUGCCAUACAGAAGCGGCCCAAUCAAUGUUUCAUGGAGGAGUGAAGGACUACUUUGCUAUUUUCAUUUCUGUUUUGUGAGUCUAUCAUUUUCCUAUUGACAUUUAAAGGAGCUCUAUACACACUUUCCAGAGGUGACCCACUGAGAGAUGCUAUGAUUGGCUAGCCAGAGUCAUUACCAACCCUUUCUCCAAGAGGCUGGAAAUACUUGCCUUCCCAGCUAGUGGUAGUCACGUGACCCAGACUACUAGAAAGAAAAGCUAUUGGAGGCUCUGGAAAAGCUUUUACUUUCCUGGUAAAAGAGACGGAUGAGUAGUGCCAUGCCUUCCCCUGCUUCUUCUUUACUUGAAUGCACAUGUAAUUUCCAGGGCUAGCUGGUCACCUUAUCAUAUCUGAGGGAAAGAUGAGAACUGAAGAAACACUGGCCCUGACGUGCUAAUACUAAUAAUUACCGACAUCCAGAUUUUUUAUUAAAUGAGGAAAAUAACUCCCUAUUUGGUUUGUUUUUUGUGUGUUUUUAUGGUUUUGGUUUUUUGUUUGUUUGUUUGUUUGGCCACACCACACAGCUUAUGGGAUCUUAGUGCCCCGACCAGGGAUUGAACCCUCAGCAGGUUCAAUCAGUCCUAACCACUGGACCGCCAGGGAAUUCCCUACUCUAUAUUUGUUUAAACCACUUAAUAGUCAUAUUUUCUACUGCAUAUUUCCCACAGCAUCCAUAACUGCUUCCUUAUAAUAUAGAUCAACAGUUCCUUUGUAAUCACUUCCACCUUUUUUCAACUCCAAAGGAAAUCAUCACUACAAUUGCUAAUCAAUACACAGCUAGAGCCCAGCAGAUUUAAAGUGCCAUCUAGAAGCUGCAUAUACAUUUCAGGUAAUUCAAAUAUAAU